ACGUAGGGUGCAAGCGUUAAUCGGAAUUACUGGGCGUAAAGCGCAUGCAGAUGGUUUGACAAGUCGGAUGUGAAAGCCCCGGGCUUAACCUGGGAACGGCACUCGAAACUGUCAGACUAGAAUGUGGAAGAGGGAAGUGGAAUUCCGGGUGUAGCAGUGAAAUGCGUAGAUAUCCGGAGGAACAUCAGUGGCGAAGGCGACUUCCUGGUCCAACAUUGACAUUCAGAUGCGAAAGCGUGGGGAGCAAACAGGAUUAGAUACCCUGGUAGUCCACGCCUUAAACGAUGCGAACUAGAUGUCGGAAGGGUCAGCCUUUCGGUGUCGCAGCUAACGCGAUAAGUUCGCCGCCUGGGGAGUACGGCCGCAAGGUUG
rnacentral:rRNA from 1 species